AAAACUAUUACAUUUUAUGUGUAUGCAUUUCUCGUUAUUUAAAAUAUUGAUUUUUUGUUACAACAUUGUAAUUUUAGUAUCUACCUUUUGUGCUACACCUAAACAACUCUUUUUAAUGUGCACAAAUUUCUCAUUGAUUGCAAUAUUGAUUUUUAUAAUAUAUUUUUUACCUUUAGUUCUUUAUACGUGUGGCUACGCCUGGUUGGUGGGUUAAAUAUGAUCAUUUAAAUGAGAAAAUGUAUACUAGUGCAACUUGUAAUCUGGGUGUUAUAACAUCACAACCACAUCUAUGGUCAACUCUAAGAUCACCUUAUUUUGUUUGGCAGUGUUUUGGAAUCAAGUUAUGGCAAUAUUUUGUGUAUAAAAUAUAACAAUUACAUUUAAAAAGUGCUUAUUUCUGACAAAAA
rnacentral:lncRNA from 1 species